rnacentral:lncRNA from 1 species
UUCCAGAUAGAGUACCAAAGAUAUAAUUUGAAGAGAGGAAACACAGUAACACUGCAUUUUUAUAUAAAAUAUGAUACCUUUUGAUUGGAAAAAUAACCAGCCAAAAAUAAAAAGAAAACAAUUCAUGUAUCUCAAAAAUAAAAAUUCCAUUUAAACUGAACAGAACAAAGAGCUCUCUUCAAAAAAUGCACUUGUGAUUAUAUUCACUAACGUACAAGUUCCUCUUACUUCGCCCACACUCACUAAGGCUAAGGCAGUCCAAUCCAAUAAAGUUAUUACACUUCCUUUCCUGCUUCAGCCUAGCAUCUUUUGGUUUUGUCUUAAUGUCAUCAGGGCCAUGUAGAAUGAAGGUUUAUGUAAUAACUAACUAUGCUGUCAAGUAUUUUUGCCCCUGACAGUUUUGUCUGUUUGUUUGUUUUGUUUUUGUUUUUUUGAGAUGAAGUUUCACUUUUGUUGCCCAGGCUGGAGUGCAAUGGUACAAUCUCAGCUCACUGUGACCUCCACCUCUCAGGUUCAAGAGAUUCUCCUGCCUCAGCCUCCCAAGGAGCUGGGAUUACAGGCAUCCACCAUCAAGCCCAACUAAUUUUUUGUAUUUUUAGUAGAAACUAAAAAUUUCACCACGUUGGCUAGGCUGGUCUCAAACUACUGACGUCAGCUGAUCCACAAGCCUCGGCCUCCCAAAGUGCUGGGAUUACAGGCUUGAGCCACCGCGCCUGCCCCCUGAAAGUUUUUAAUUUUAAUUUAGAGUUUCCUUUUGGUUGUUUCUCCAUCCAUAAUUUUCACUCUUGCUCUGAUGUGAUGUCACCUUUUACUUUGUUUUUGAAAAAUUUCAGGUAGUUUUUAUCUUCAUUCCUUGACCUCAAGUAUCAAGACUUUUAAAAUAUGAUCUGUCAAUUAUCUCUUUAGGAAUCACCAUGUUCUUUAAUGCUGUCCUGUCCUUAGUUUAACAUGCAUUGCUUGAGAUACCAUUCAGGUACUUCCUGUUUCAACCUUGACGAUAAUGAUACAAAAAGAUAACAACUAUUUUCACUGCGAACAACAAUAUACUUUGUUUUUAUAUCAUUGCAUGUUUUAGGUUCCCAAGAGGUUGCUUUGUCAGAAUGUAUCCCUUCAUUGGAAAUUAAAAUUUACAUUUUUUUAAAUGUUUUAAGAGACAGGGUCUUGCUCUGCCAUCCAGGCUGAAGUGCAGUGGCACAAUCAUGGCUCAUUGCAGCCUUGAACUCCUUGGCUCCAGUAAUCCUUGGUAGCCUUGACCUCUCAAAGUGCCAGAAUUCCAGGUGUGAGUCACCACGCCCAGCCUACCUUUAAUAAAUAAACUUUAAUUUCUUAUUUUACAAUAAUGUUAGGUUUUAUAUUUUCAGCCCAUUGGAAACUACCCAGUGCUUUGAAAAAUACUUAUCAUUUACUCAGAAUAUGUCUCUUAAUAGAAUAUUAAAAAAUACAUUUCCUAAAAAUCUCACAUUUAUUUUUUAGAAAAUGUUCACCCUGUAUCAAAACGGUUACAAAAUACAAAGUAAG